rnacentral:rRNA from 1 species
UACGUAGGGGGCAAGCGUUAUCCGGAUUUAUUGGGCGUAAAGAGCUCGUAGGCGGCCGUUCGCGUCGGAUGUGAAAGCUCAGGCUCAACCCUGAGACGCCAUUCGAUACGGGACGGCUAGAGGUAGGUAGGGAAAGUGGGAAUUCCUGGUGUAGCGGUGAAAUGCGCAGAUAUCAGGAGGAACACCGGUGGCGAAGGCGGCUUUCUGGGCCUUACCUGACGCUGAGGAGCGAAAGCUGGGGGAGCGAACAGG